GAUGAACGCUGGCGGCGUGCCUAAUACAUGCAAGUCGAGCGAACAGACGAGGAGCUUGCUCCUCUGAUGUUAGCGGCGGUCGGGUGAGUAACACGUGGGUAACCUACCUAUAAGACUGGGAUAACUUCGGGAAACCGGAGCUAAUACCGGAUAACAUGUUGAACCGCAUGGUUCAACAGUGAAAGACGGUCUUGCUGUCACUUAUAGAUGGAUCCGCGCCGCAUUAGCUAGUUGGUAAGGUAACGGCUUACCAAGGCAACGAUGCGUAGCCGACCUGAGAGGGUGAUCGGCCACACUGGAACUGAGACACGGUCCAGACUCCUACGGGAGGCAGCAGUAGGGAAUCUUCCGCAAUGGGCGAAAGCCUGACGGAGCAACGCCGCGUGAGUGAAGAAGGUCUUCGGAUCGUAAAACUCUGUUAUUAGGGAAGAACAAAUGUGUAAGUAACUAUGCACGUCUUGACGGUACCUAAUCAGAAAGCCACGGCUAACUACGUG
rnacentral:rRNA from 1 species